rnacentral:rRNA from 1 species
UACAGAGGGUGCAAGCGUUGUUCGGAAUUACUGGGCGUAAAGCGCACGCAGGUGGCUGAGUCAGUCGAUUGUGAAAGCCCUGGGCUUAACCUGGGAAUUGCAGUCGAUAAUACUCAGCUAGAGUAUGGGAGAGGGUAGUGGAAUUCCCGGUGUAGCGGUGAAAUGCGUAGAUAUCGGGAGGAACAUCAGUGGCGAAGGCGGCUACCUGGCCCAAUACCGACACUCAGGUGCGACAGCGUGGGGAGCAAACAGG